CCUACGGGAGGCAGCAGUGGGGAAUUUUGGACAAUGGGCGAAAGCCUGAUCCAGCAAUGCCGCGUGAGUGAAGAAGGCCUUCGGGUUGUAAAGCUCUUUUGUCAGGGAAGAAACGGUGAGAGCUAAUAUCUCUUGCUAAUGACGGUACCUGAAGAAUAAGCACCGGCUAACUACGUGCCAGCAGCCGCGGUAAUACGUAGGGUGCAAGCGUUAAUCGGAAUUACUGGGCGUAAAGCGUGCGCAGGCGGUUUUGUAAGUCUGUCGUGAAAUCCCCGGGCUCAACCUGGGAAUUGCGAUGGAGACUGCAAGGCUAGAAUCUGGCAGAGGGGGGUAGAAUUCCACGUGUAGCAGUGAAAUGCGUAGAGAUGUGGAGGAACACCGAUGGCGAAGGCAGCCCCCUGGGUCAAGAUUGACGCUCAUGCACGAAAGCGUGGGGAGCAAACAGGAUUAGAUACCCUGGUAGUCCACGCCCUAAAACGAUGUCUACUAGUUGUCGGGUUUUAAUUAACUUGGUAACGCAGCUAACGCGUGAAGUAGACCGCCUGGGGAGUACGGUCGCAAAGAUUAAAACUUAAAUGAAAUUGACGGCUUGAGAGNGCGAGGACGACACGAGGGAGGAGG
rnacentral:rRNA from 1 species